GUCCCGAUAGCUUAAAUGGUAGAGCACGGAGCUGAAGAUUCUGAGGAGAGGGUUCAAUUCCUUCUUGGGACA